UAAACAGAGAUCUGGAAGAGGAAGCUGCUUGCUUCCCCCACACCCCCCACUUCCUUCCUGCCCUGUUUCUGAAGCUGAAAACCACAGGGGCCAUUUGUGCAGCUCUGAAUCAUGUCUUCCUGGGAAGCCUGGCAAGGUGAAGGCGGCUCCAGGGCCCCACUAUUCUGCAAUAAAAGCAGGAGCUAUUGCCCAGGCUCUGUGUUCGUAGCCAGCAGUGGGGACCUGGAGGCUAGUGACCGCAGCCACCUGAACCUGUUCCCUAGGGUGGCCACGAGGUCUCCAGGAAGGUGGGAGUUUCCAAAAUGAUACAUGCACCGUUUCUGAGUGUCUCUGACUUGCGAGGAAUAAACAGCUGCGUUCUCCCUGAAUAGGCCCUUACUUGGAGCUCAUGUCCGUCUGUCCAACCAAUCUAUCCCCUUCCGCCCCCCUACCCUCCGCACCCCCCACCCCAGUCACUGAGGCCAAGUGACCUAAAGUGCCAAGUCCAGCAGCUCCUCCAUUGUCCCUGCUUCCCGCUCUCCAGAGAGGAGGUGUGGAGUCUCCUGCUUAGGCUGAUGUCCCUGCCUGGGUGCCUUUCACUUUGUCCUGGGCCUGGGUCUGGAAGGCUCCACUCCC
rnacentral:lncRNA from 1 species